CGACAGGAAGCCCUCGGGGUUCUUCUCCCGGAUCAUCACCUGGUGUGGGGACAGAGUGUAUCUACACAGAGGCAACACGGUAUCGUCAGACCCCAGCACCAGGCUGCCUGGGUCCGAAUCCCAGUUCAUGGGACUCAGUUUGCUCAUCUGAAGAAUGGGGACAAUACAACAUAUGGGAUCGAUGAGUUAAUACACAUUAAAGCCCUCAGGACAUUGCCUGGACGCUGGAAGCAUUCAGCAAGUAUGAACGAUCGCUCAUUCAUUCUCACAGCAGCCCUCUGCAUCCGGGUCUUCUCCCCUGAGAUCCCAGCGCUCCCCGAGUACCUUUCCCUCUCUCCUCCCUUCCAGUGAACAGAAGGCUUGAAGGUGACGCUAAAAAGUGAGUGGCUUUCUCACUACACAGCCGGCUUCUCAUUCUACCCGUUGGCUCGGGUACAUCACGCCCAGGGAAACACAAAUGAUGGAUCUUAAUGAGGUCCUGCUGCCUCCCCUCGCCGCCCGCCCCCCAACUCACUGCAGAUCCUUGGUGUUGAUGAAGAAGAGGACCAGGAAGUUGCUACUGUUUUUCUGGAAAGGGCAGUCGUGAAAAUCCCAGGUCUGGGGAGUGGGCAAGAAGGAAGCCUGGGUUACCCCUUUCCAUGCGCCCUGUCCUCCCCGACCCUGCCUCCCUUCCCAUCCACCCAGGUCUCCUCUUGCUUCUGGCAGGGGCCUCUAGGUUAUAGAUGCAGAAGACCGACAACCCCCUCUCCAACACACACACACACACACACACACACACACACAUGCCACCCAAUCACCCAGCCCCACUUCCCUCCCUCCCCACCUCCACUCACUGAGUAGGAUCGAGAGCUGCCAGAUUGGACCCGGCUCAGGCUGAACCCCACCUGGUGGAUGGAGAGAAAGGGGGAGGAUGUGAGGGACCCCAGCAGGGACCCCCCACCCCCAUCAAGCCAUCCCUUUCAUAGCAACAGAAACCUAACCUCACAUUCACUGAACACCUACCAUGUGCUAGGUCCCAUGUUCUCUCUCUGAACUUCCCAACCACCUCCCCCUGUCCCUCCAUCCUUUUCCUUUAACUCCUAACUAUCCCCUGUGACUCAAUCUGCAUGUCACUGCCUCAUGGAGACCUUCAAUAGCCCACCUUGUUUUUUCCCCAUUUAAAUGUGAAUGGUUUCCCCGGUCCUGGGCUGUGGAAUCCCAGUGCGCUCAGGUUUAAAUCUAGGCUGUCGUGUCCCAGUUGGGUGACUCUGAGCAAGCAGCAUACUUCCGAGCCUGUGACUAUACCCAUAUAGUUGGCUUCAGUGAAUUUUUGUAGCAUCCCUGAGAGGUGGCUAUGAGGAAACAGGUGCAUGGAAAAUGCUUUGCAUGGUACUUGAUAUGUAGUGUGCAUUCAAUAAACGCUAGUUAUGUACUCCUGA